GGGGAAUAUUGCGCAAUGGGGGAAACCCUGACGCAGCAACGCCGCGUGAAGGAUGAAGGUUUUCGGAUCGUAAACUUCUUUGAUGAGGGACGAACAAAAUGACGGUACCUCAAAAACAAGCCACGGCUAACUACGUGCCCGCAGCCGCGGUAAUACGUAGGUGGCGAGCGUUGUCCGGAAUUACUGGGUGUAAAGGGCGUGUAGGCGGGGAUGUAAGUCAGAUGUGAAAUUCCAUGGCUCAACUGUGGGGCUGCAUCUGAAACUAUGUCUCUUGAGUGCCGGAGAGGGAAGCGGAAUUCCUAGUGUAGCGGUGAAAUGCGUAGAUAUUAGGAGGAACACCAGUGGCGAAGGCGGCUUUCUGGACGGUAACUGACGCUGAGGCGCGAAAGCGUGGGGAGCAAACA
rnacentral:rRNA from 1 species